rnacentral:piRNA from 1 species
UGACGUGACUGCCUUUUGGUACCUUCUAU